GCCAGGUGCAGUGGCUUACACCUGUAAUCCCAGCACUUUGGGAGGCUGAGGUGGGUGGAUUGCUUGAGCCCAGGAAUUUGAGACCAGCCUGGACAAACACCAUCUCUACAAAAAAUACAAAAAGUAGCUGGGCAUGAUGGCGCACAGCUGUAGUCCCAGCUACUCAGAGGCUGAGGUGAGGGGAUCACCUAAACCCAAGAGGUCAAAGUUGCAGUGAGCUGUGAUGGUGCCACUGCACUCCAGCCUGGGUGACAGAGUGAGAACCUGUCUCA
ensembl:misc_RNA Metazoa_SRP Metazoan signal recognition particle RNA